CCUUUUCCCAGGCGCCGCUUCCUCUACAUUGUUAACCUGGAUGCGCCCGCUGAUGGUCACCGCAAGAUUUCCCGUCAGAGCAAGUGGGACAUUGGGGCCGUGCAGUGGAAUCCCCACGAGAGCCACGCACACUACUUUGCUGCAUCGAGCAACCAACGUGUUGACCUAUAUAAGUGGAAGGACGGUAAUGGGGAAAUUGGCACUUCCUUGCAAGGACACACACGUGUCAUCAGUGAUUUGGACUGGGCGGUGUUUGAGUCAGAUCUACUGGUUACCAGUUCGGUUGACACGUACAUCUACAUCUGGGACAUCAAGUAAG